rnacentral:rRNA from 1 species
GACGAACCGUGCGAACGUUAUUCGGAAUCACUGGGCUUAAAGCGCGUGUAGGCGGGACGGCACGUCGGUCGUUUGAAAAGCCCCCCGGCUCAACCGGGGGAAUGGGCGCCGAUACGACCGUCCUGGAGGAACGUAGGGGGACCUGGAACUUCCGGUGGAGCGGUGAAAUGCGUUGAGAUCGGAAGGAACGCCCGUGGCGAAAGCGAGGUCCUGGACGUUUUUCUGACGCUGAGACGCGAAAGCCAGGGGAGCGAACGGG